rnacentral:rRNA from 1 species
UGCAAGUCGAGCGGCAGCACGGGUACUUGUACCUGGUGGCGAGCGGCGGACGGGUGAGUAAUGCCUAGGAAUCUGCCUGGUAGUGGGGGAUAACGCUCGGAAACGGACGCUAAUACCGCAUACGUCCUACGGGAGAAAGCAGGGGACCUUCGGGCCUUGCGCUAUCAGAUGAGCCUAGGUCGGAUUAGCUAGUUGGUGAGGUAAUGGCUCACCAAGGCGACGAUCCGUAACUGGUCUGAGAGGAUGAUCAGUCACACUGGAACUGAGACACGGUCCAGACUCCUACGGGAGGCAGCAGUGGGGAAUAUUGGACAAUGGGCGAAAGCCUGAUCCAGCCAUGCCGCGUGUGUGAAGAAGGUCUUCGGAUUGUAAAGCACUUUAAGUUGGGAGGAAGGGCAGUUACCUAAUACGUAUCUGUUUUGACGUUACCGACAGAAUAAGCACCGGCUAACUCUGUGCCAGCAGCCGCGGUAAUACAGAGGGUGCAAGCGUUAAUCGGAAUUACUGGGCGUAAAGCGCGCGUAGGUGGUUCGUUAAGUUGGAUGUGAAAUCCCCGGGCUCAACCUGGGAACUGCAUUCAAAACUGACGAGCUAGAGUAUGGUAGAGGGUGGUGGAAUUUCCUGUGUAGCGGUGAAAUGCGUACAUAUAGGAAGGAACAC